AGGUCCCAGGCACAUUGCCAAGUGGCUUACAUAUUGUCUUCUCCUAUGAUAAGUAUUUUUAGUCCUUCUUUCAUAGAUGAGUAAAUUAAGGUACAGAGAUGACAAAUAAUUGGCCCAAAUCCAAUAGCCAAGAAGUCACAAAAUCAAGAUUCACAACAGUUCCCUUUGGGUCUGAUCCUAGAGUUGUACCCUUCCCCAUUCCAUGGCAUUAGGGAGGCGGAAGGGAACUCCCUUUCUGCUUCCUGGAAUCCAGGCUGGCUUGGUGACUUGCCGACCACAGAACGCUGUGGAAGGGACAUUCUGGGGCUUCCCAUCUCCAACAUAAGAAGGCAGGACUUGCUUCUGUGAGGUACUGAGCCACCCGUCCCUGGAGGAAAGCAAGAACAGAGCAGAUCAGAGCCCAGGCAGACAUCUUGGAUGAUGGGGUACAUCUUGCCAUCCAGAGGCAAUGCUGGAGCGGGCAGUUGUCUGCGGGGAGGCCCUGGCUCACUCUGGGCCAAAUAACAGGACUGAUUGCAGCCUGCGAUGAAACAUCCUGUUUCUCCCAACCAGAAACAGGUAGAGGAGCUGCUUUAGGAUGGAAGAUGAGGCUUGCUUUUUCUUUCUCCUAGAAGUCAGCAUUUUACAUGAUUCUGGGAGGGAAGAAAGGAGACAGGAACCAAGGAGCCUGAGUGGGGAUUUGCCCACCACUGGGCAGCCAGGCUCCCGUCAGGAAGGCUUUUCAGAGGGAGUGUUGGAAGGAGUCGUCGAGGAGUCUUCCUCACCCAGGAAGUCUUCCUCACCGGGUGAGCCCCAACCUGCUGGACCUGCUCAGAAUUUGCCCAACAGGGGAUCCUGGUUGACUGAGGUCUGCUAAUUCCAACUGGCCUACGCUAAAUUCUCCCAGAAUGUCUUCAUCAUCAAUGAAUCGCUUUCCACUGACACGACGCCUGGAAGAACAUAAACACUGUGAGGAUAAAUGCCAAUGAAAUAAUAAUAAAAUAAACUUUCUUUGGUGGCCAGAGGGAAACAGAA
rnacentral:lncRNA from 1 species